rnacentral:rRNA from 1 species
GUGGGGAAUAUUGGACAAUGGGCGAAAGCCUGAUCCAGCCAUGCCGCGUGUGUGAAGAAGGUCUUCGGAUUGUAAAGCACUUUAAGUUGGGAGGAAGGGCAGUAAGUUAAUACCUUGCUGUUUUGACGUUACCGACAGAAUAAGCACCGGCUAACUUCGUGCCAGCAGCCGCGGUAAUACGAAGGGUGCAAGCGUUAAUCGGAAUUACUGGGCGUAAAGCGCGCGUAGGUGGUUUUGUAAGUUGGAGGUGAAAUCCCCGGGCUCAACCUGGGAACUGGCUCCAAAACGGCAUGACUAGAGUACGGUAGAGGGUAGUGGAAUUUCCUGUGUAGCGGUGAAAUGCGUAGAUAUAGGAAGGAACACCAGUGGCGAAGGCGACUACCUGGACUGAUACUUACACUGAGGUGCGAAAGCGUGGGGAGCAAACAGGAUUAGAUACCCGUGUAGUCC